rnacentral:rRNA from 1 species
GGACGAACGCUGGCGGCGUGCCUAACACAUGCAAGUCGAACGGAGCUAAGGGAGCUGCUCCGGAGCUAGUGGCGGACGGGUGAGUAACACGUGAGUAACCUGCCUUCAGAGGGGAAUAAUGUUUGGAAACGGACACUAAUACCGCAUAAUAUAUUUUAAUCGCAUGAUUGAAAUAUCAAAGGAGCAAUCCGCUGAAAGAUGGACUCGCGUCUGAUUAGCCAGUUGGCGGGGUAACGGCCCACCAAAGCGACGAUCAGUAGCCGGACUGAGAGGUUGAACGGCCACAUUGGGACUGAGACACGGCCCAGACUCCUACGGGAGGCAGCAGUGGGGGAUAUUGCACAAUGGGCGCAAGCCUGAUGCAGCCAACGCCGCGUGCAGGAAGACGGUCUUCGGAUUGUAAACUGUUGUCCUCUGUGACGAUAAUGACGGUAGCAGAGGAGGAAGCCACGGCUAACUACGUGCCAGCCGCCGC